rnacentral:tRNA from 1 species
AGUAAGUUGGUGUAUAUGGCACGGGAAAGUUUGAUUUUCUAGGUAUUUUUCGUUUAGGUACUUACUGUUG